rnacentral:rRNA from 1 species
CACGUAGGGCGCAAGCGUUGUCCGGAAUUAUUGGGCGUAAAGAGCUCGUAGGCGGUCUGUUGCGUCCGCUGUGAAAACCCGGGGCUUAACCCCUGGCUUGCAGUGGAUACGGACAGACUAGAGGUAGGUAGGGGAGAAUGGAAUUCCCGGUGUAGCGGUGAAAUGCGCAGAUAUCGGGAGGAACACCCGUAGCGAAGGCGGCACUCUGGGCCGGUACUGACGCUGAGGAGCGAAAGCGUGGGGAGCAAACAGG